AGCGCCGCUACUACAGCGCACCAAACGGGUUUCUACGAGCCUAUACAAUAAUAUUUAAUGCAUAAACAAAAAUUUAAGAAAUCAGAUGUUUUAUUUUUUAAGUCCUCUCUUCCAAUAGCAACAAGCCAUUUCUUGCACCUAUAUUAUCGGUAAAUAAACGGUAUUUAAAAAUUAUUAACUCACAAUUACUCUUAAGAAUAUUAAAAACCGUAACAGAGCAAUACUUACAUUUCUACGUCCUUCGGCAAUCUGUGACAUAUUUUAUCUGGAUUAUUUCGAAGGGUAUUUUUGCACUUAGAGACAAAAUAAUACGUUCCUCCCCUUAUGUAUGAACUCAUUAUUUGUUUUUUAUUUAUUUUCUAAGUUAAAUUGUAGAAUAAAAAAGAAUACCGAACAACUUCUAAUUCAAAAAUUCGAAUUAGACCACAAAAGCAGAUUUUGCGCAUGCCCACAGAAGAAAUUCUACCGUGCGCAUCUCCAACCCGGAAAACAAAGUUCAUCACGUGGUUCUAUCAUUAUUUCCAACUACCAGAUGUCGCUGAAUUUCGGGACACGCAAAAUCCACUUC
rnacentral:lncRNA from 1 species